UACGUAGGUGGCUAGCGUUGUCCGGAUUUACUGGGCGUAAAGAGCGCGCAGGCGGUCGUUCAAGUCGAGUGUGAAAGCCCCCGGCUCAACUGGGGAGGGUCACUCGAUACUGAUCGACUCGAAGGCAGGAGAGGGAAGCGGAAUUCCCGGUGUAGUGGUGAAAUGCGUAGAUAUCGGGAGGAACACCAGUGGCGAAGGCGAGUCUCUGGGAUGAUGCUGACGCUGAGGCGCGAAAGCCAGGGGAGCAAACGGG
rnacentral:rRNA from 1 species